UAUAGCUUGCUAUAUGAUGUUUAAUCCCAAGG
rnacentral:piRNA from 1 species